GUCUUUCGGUGUCUUCUAGACUGAAGCCCACUGUGUCCAGGGCAAGCUCCCCGACCAACUCUGACUCUUGCUGUUUCCAAGGUCCCAGCUUCUUGUUUUCCAGAUGCUAUUUGCAGACCACGCAGUGACCCAUUCGUCCUUGCAUGAAAACCGACUGAUGAAUACAGGAGGCCUCAGAGGGCAGCAACCCUGCUAGACUUGGUCUUGAACUUCCAGCCUCCAGAACAUGAGAGAAUGAACUUCUUGUGUGAGUCCCCAGUCUGUGGGACGUUGUUAUGGAGGCUGAGCUGAUGUGUGCGACCCCUGAAGCCCUAUCCUCACCCUGUGAAGCACACGGCAGGCUCGGGAGAUGUCCAUAGUGGGCCAGCCAUCCUCACGGAGCACCGGCACCUUGGGCAUGGACACUGUGUCCCUGCUAUAUCAGGUCUGCGAGAGACCCAGAGCAGCUGGGCUCAGUGUCUCCAGCCUCGUUGCUCACCACCUCUUCCAACCCUGGGCUCUGGUCAGAUUUGUCGUCCUGGCCUAGUUUCAAUCAUGUCCCCUCAGAGAAGCUGCCCCAUGCACAGGGUCUCCAGAGCCAGGUGAGAUGCCCUCAGGGACGCACAUUCUCCCUAUGCCCACAGUUCUGAGGCCUCACUGUGUGUUUCUUUUCUUUUCUGGUCUGUCUUCCCACUAUGCGAGAAGCUGCCUGAAGGCAGGAACCUUCCCGACUGUCCUGCCUGUAGGGUCCCCCACAAAGAGGGCCCCUGGCAGGUAAGAGGGUCUGGGACGUGCUUAUGGAUGGACACAGAGCCCAGGCAGCACCGGGUGUCCAGCCCUGAGCUGAGGACAUCUGGGGCCCUGGACUGCCAGUCACUUUUCUGGGUCUUUGAUCCCUUCAUCGGGAAACACGGAGUUCUUGGGGAGCUCUGUGAGGCCCCAUGGGACAGAGACAUUGAUGUCAUAAGGCAGCACAUGCUGCUGAGCUGUGAGGGUGAGCAGGUGAAUAGCACCCGGGCCAGCCUGCGGGACAGCCCCAGCAUGGGGCAGUCCCAACGUGGCCCUGAGGACAGGGGACCACUGAGGAGAUGGAGAGGAAGGGCCCCUGUCCGGGAGCCUCACCCCAGAUUGGAGCUGGGCCUGGGAAGGUGUCCUGAGCCCCUCAGCCCCUCGCUGGGUGGCUCAGGAACUCACUGCUCAUCUCUGGUUUCUGAGCAGUUUACAGAGAAUUGCUAAUGGGUUUAUGAAUCAUGGGAAACAGAGAAUGCUUUUUUAUUUUUCUGCUACUGACCUCUCAAAAGAAAUUUCCAGAUGCCUCAUAUAAGUCAAUUCCAUAUAAUCGAGUCAAGAAUUUCACGACUGUGACUCAGCAUUUAAAUCUCCUAAAGGCAGAUAUUUAACCCAAAGACAGAGAGCUUCACUUCACAGGAUUCACACUAUGCUGAAGAUUCUGGGGUGUGCAGUACAUGUGCCUGUGUGCGUUCCUCUUUGAGCAAGAGUCAACAUGUAACUGGCAAUCUUUGAACAAGAUGCUAACAGGUCCACCAUGCUCUGUGUCAAUUAAGAAACAAAACUGAAGAUGUCCCUGGUACUCCACUGGCUGUGGAAUCAAGGUGACACUCCCUAGGGGGGCAUACAUCCCUUAGGUCUCUCCGGAACAUUCCAGUCAUGCUAAGCUUCCAGAUAUUUUACACGUGGAAUAUACAUCUUAUUCGUCCCGCCUCCGCUUAGCCUUCCAUCUGCCCGCAGCACCUUGUCGCAACUCCACUUGCUAAAGAUCUCGUGUUCUUCUUGACCCAGUUCCAAUACCAUCAUUUCUGUGCAUCUGCAACUGCCAGGGGCCUGUGUUCCUACGCCCUGCGGAAGGGUGUCCAGCGAUCACACUCCCUCCACACACUCUUGUCUUUUCCAAGGCUUCAAUGCCAUCUUUCGCAGCGUCUGCAGUCUACAAGCCUGGAACUCCGGACUUGACUCUGUAACUAACGGUGCGUCUCCACUUGAUAUCCAAAGGCCUCUUCAACUGUACAAAACAGAAGCCCGACUUUCCCUAGGUUCUCAUGUCCAAGUAAAUGGCACUGCCUUUUGCCCAGUUGCUCAGGCAGCACCUGAAAAGCAUCAUUUAUUUACUCUUCAAUGCCCCCCCAUGCUGCAUAUCCAAACCAAGCAGCAGGACUGUCUCUUUCUUCAAAACACACCUGGAUGGGGCCUCUCCUCGCCGUGCUAAGCCCCUGGGCAUCACUCUCACCUGGAGUGUGCAGACAGCCUCUGGUGGGCUCCCUGCUGCAGCCGUUCCCGUCCUCUAUUGCACAGAGCAGCCAGUGAGCUUGGAACACAAAUCAGGGCCUAACACUGCUCUGCCCUAAGCCCCAAGCUCUCUCUUGGCCUCCCAGCUUCCCCAGAACAAAUCCCAAAGCCUCGGCGUGGGCGAUGGGCCCACACCACGCAGCCCCACCUGCUCCCCAGACGUGACAAGGUUGGCAUCGCCUGUGCAUGUGGGUUUCCCUCUGCCUAGAACCCUCGUUCCCUGCCAUUAAAAAUGGCUUUAUUCACAUUAUUUGAUUCUAGCUAGCUCCAAAGCCAUUUACUCAGUGAGGGUCUCCCACCCGCUCACGCACUCACCUCACCUUAUUUUUUUCUUCCACACCACUGAUUACCAUCUGCAAUUGAAUGAAAUUAUUUACUAAAUCUUAUUUUAUAUUGUCAUACUUCCUUAGCGGAUAAAAACUCAAAACUACGAAAGCAAUGACUUUGCCUUGAGUGUUGUUCUACACCCAGGUGAUCAGAACACAGAAGCCUUUGAUAAAUUUGUGCUGAAACAAGUCACGUCAUUAGUGCCUGAAAUCAGGAAACUGCCUGCAGGAGCCUCUGUUCCUGGCAUACACUUGGUGCUCAACACAUGCUCGUUAAAUACAUGAACAGAUACCUAAAUAACAUCAUUCACUUUUUUCCCUUCUCAUUGAAUGAGAUGGUUUAGUGGUGUCCCCACCCAAAUCUCAUCUUGAACUCUAGUUCCCAUAAUCCCCACGCAUGGUGGGAAGGACCCAGUGGAAGGUAAUUGAAUCAUGGGGGCAGAUACCCUCAUGCUGUUCUCAUGAUACUGAGUGAGUUCUCACGAGAUCUGAUGGUUUUAUAAGGCGCUUUCCCCUCAUUCGCUCUGCAUUUCUUGCUGCCACCACGUGAAGAAGGAUAUGUUUGCUUCCCCUUCCGUCAUGAUCGUAAGUUUCCUGAGGCCUUCCCAGCCCUGCAGAACUGUGAGUCAGUUAAGCCUCUUUCCUUUAUAAACUACCCUAUCUUGGGAAUUUCUUCCUAGCAGUGUGAGAAUGGACUAAUACAUCAAGGUUUUCAAAAGAGCUCUACCCACAGAUCUUUUAAAUUCCAUUCUUUUCCUUUGGCUUCAUAAAUGAGCGAGCUUUCUUAAGGCUUAUUAUCAAGAGUGGCUUUCACAUUUUAGGAGCACAUUAGGUCUCUGAAGCCUUGUAAUUUUCUUUUAAGUCACAUGAAAAAGAUCUUUACUUCCAAGGAGACACCUGGCUAUGCCCGGGCCUUUGGAUUUGAGGGCUCAUCCUGCACUUUCAGAGUGGGUGAGAAAAUGGGGCUCACCCCCUCACUGCUUCAGCCUCCAAGUGUCCAAAGCUUAAAUGGACGGAUGGGGCCCUCCCUCUCAGGCCUCAUUAUAGAAGGCAAAUUAGCCCCCAUGAUGGAGGCGGGCAGAGGACAUCAUGAGCUUACCCAGACCUGCAGAGGCAAUGGGCUGGGGAUGUUCUCUCCCUAAGAACAGAGAUGCUUUUGAGGAUGAGCUGAUGCAGGCAGGGGUGGCACUCUACGCAGAUGGCAGAAUAGUGCCGGCCCCUGGGAUGGGUGAGAGGAGGGAGCAUCCAGGAGCUGGGCCUGCAGAGGGAGGGAUGGAGAGGCCUUGGGCCCUGCUGAGGGUUUGAACUUGAUCCUGAGGCCAUCGAGGGCUGCAGGAGGGCUUUAAACAGAAAAUAAUUAUAUGGUAAGAUGUAACCGUUAGAAAGUUAUAGAUGGCUGGGGUAACUACACGGAUGGCAACAGACAAGAAGCUGGAAACUGCUGGGAAGCUUUUGGGUGAUCUGGGUGAGGAGGGAAGGGUGCUGCGCUGGGGAUGGGGGAGGACUGCAGCCGCUGGGGUGGAGAUGCAGGACUUGGGACCAGCUGGGUGGCAGUGAGUCAGGAUGGCCCACCCCUGGCCUGGCCACUAGGAGCAUGGAGGUGCCAUCCAAGAGUGAGACAUGCGGAGAAGGGGCAAGUCUGGAGGGAGAGAUGAGUGCAGCUUUGUUUUUUAAGAUUUUUGGUAAAAUACACAUGAGAAAAUUUCCCAUCUGAAUCAUUUUCAGCUCUACAGUUGAGUAUACUUGCAUUGUUCUGCACUGGCUCUCUAGGGCUUUCUCGUCGCCAAAGUAAGCCCUGUCCUGCUUCAACACUAGCUCCCCAUUCCUCUCUGCCAGCCCUGACACCCACCCUGACACCCACCCCUCUACUUCCUGUCUCCAUGGGUUGACUGUUCCAGGGGCCCGUAGUGGGAUUACACAGUGCUAGUCCCGUGGCUGGUUCCCUCCACUCGGUGUAACAACUCCAAGCCUCUUCCGUGUUGUGCUGUGUGUCCGAAUUUCCUUCCUUUUUAAGGCUGAAUAAUCCGUUGUUCCACGUGGGUGGGGCACACUGUGUUUAUUCCUCAUUGGCUGAUGGACAUGUGGGUUGCCUCCACCCUUGGCUGCUGUGGAUGGUGCUGCUGUGACAUGGCUGGGCAUACUCCUCGAGUCCCUGCUUUCAGUCCUUUGGGGGAUAGACCCAGAAGUGGAACUGAGGGGUCACAUGGCACUUCUGUGUUGGGAGCAGGCCCCCCAAAAUCUGGCCAUAAACUGGCCCCAAAACUGGCCAUAAACAAAAUCUCUGCAGCACUGUGACAUGUUCAUAAUGGCCCUAAAGCCCAAGCUAGAAGCUUGUCUAUUUACGGGGAUGAGGGCAAGGAACACUUGGCCCGCCCAGGGUGGAAAACCACUUAAAGGCAUUCUUAAGCCACAAACAAUAGCAUGAGCGAUUUCUGCCUUAAGGACGUGCUCCUGCUGCAGUUAACUAGCCCAGCCUGUUCCUUUAAUUUGACCCAUCCCUUCGUUUCCCAUAAGGGAUACUAUUAGUUAAUUUAACAUCUAUAGAAACAAUGCUAAUGACUGGUUUGCUGUUAAUAAAUACAUGGGUAAAUCUCUGUUCAGGGCUCUCAGCUCUGAAGGCUGUGAGACCCCUGAUUUCCCAACUCACACCUCUAUAUUUCUGUGUGUGUGUCUUUAAUUCCUCUAGUACUGCUGGGUUAGGGUCUCCCUGACCUAGCUGGUCUCAGCAAGUGGCGUCCAUCGUGGGGACUCAAAUCCAGGUCGAAGGGUUGCCAGAACAAUGGUUGGAGUGGAAAACUAGCUGGAGGACACUCGAGUACUCUUAAAGCAAUCCCUGUGGCCAAAAUCAACAGCCGAUUUGGAUACCAUCAAGACACCUGAAACCUUAUCAUGAGCCAGAUGCAGAGGAAGAGAUUCCAGGAGGAUCCCGAGGACCCCCGGUUGCAGCCAUGUCAAGACUGACGCUGCGGAGGACCCCAACUGUCACGAGCAACACCCAUCGAACACAGCCACCCACCUGGGGACAGAACAGGAAGCUGUCACAGAUGGCGGAAGAAAACCUGAGGAAAGCGGGACAACCAGUCACAAUGAAUAAUUUAAUGAUAGCUCUGAUAGCGGUUAUCACCACCGCCUCUGCAGAUGUGGAUCCUGACUCCUGCAAGAAGUAGCUCACCGUGACAAAGCUGCCUUUGCUUUUAUCGAUUUGCAAAUCAGAGAAGGGGGACAUAUUGGGAGCAGGCCCCCCAAAAUCUGGCCAUAAACUGGCCCCAAAACUGGACUGGCCAUAAACUGGCCCCAAAACUGGACUGGCCAUAAACAAAAUCUCUGCAGCACUGUAACAUGUUCAUAAUGGCCCCUAAUGCCCAGGCUGGAAGGUUGUGGGUUUACAGGGAUGAGGGCGAGGAACACCUGGCCCACCCAGGGUGGAAAACCGCUUAAAGGCAUUCUUAAGCCAAACAAUAGCAUGAGUGAUCUGUGACUUAAGGACAUGCUCCUGCUGCAGUUAACUAGCCCAACCUAUUCCUUUAAUUCGGUCCAUCCCUUCGUUUCCCGUAAGGGAUACUUUUAGUUAAUUUAACAUCUAUAGAAACAAUGCUGAUGACUGGUUUGCUGUUAAUAAACACGUGGGUAAAUCUCUGUUCGGGCCUCUCAGCUCUGAAGGCUGUGAAACCCCUGAUUUCCCACUUCCCACGUCUA